UUAAUCUGAUUUUUUUUUUAAUAAUAGGUAUUUUAUUGAAAAAAUCUAAAGGCUUCAUCUUACAAUUUGUUAAAAUUUUACUUCUUAGUCCCACUACGCCGGACCGGCAGACCUGCCGGAAACCGGACACCGGACAGAGUGUUCACAUUACAUCGGAUCCCGGAAGAAAUUCAGACAGUCAAGUACUUACCUCAGUUGAAUUUGGACCUGCGCGCACAAUGGACGACGAAAUUGUUGUGUUGUGGUGGUAUCUUAAUAGAAGGCAAAAUAAAAGAAAACAUUGGGUACACCCUAUUUUACGGGAAAGAUUUUCACUUGGAACAUUUGAAACAUUAAUGGGUGAACUUAGAAGAGACGAAUCAAAGUUCUUCAAUUAUUUUCGAAUGACAGCAACCACUUUUGACGAUUUACUGGGACGACUAGACAUAAGAGUACGAGAUACAAGUUUCAGAGAAUGUAUUUGCCCAGAACAAAGAUUAGCCAUAUGUCUAAGAUAUUUAGCUUCAGGAUGUUCAUUCAAAGAAAUACAUUACUCAUACAGAGUAGGCGUUUCGACAAUAAGUAAACUAAUAAAAGAAAUGACCCACGUCAUUUGGGAAAACCUAAAGACAGAUUUCCUUAAGCUGCCUGAUACUGAGAGAGAAUGGGAGGACAUCGUUUCAGGAUUCGAAAGAAAAGCCAACUUUCCUCACUGUCUUGGAGCAGUAGAUGGCAAACAUAUCAGAAUUUUGAAACCAGCCAAGAGUGGUUCUAUGUUCUUUAAUUACAAGGAGUAUUAUUCUUUUGUAUUAAUGGCAGUUGUCGAUUCAGAGUACCGAUUUAUUUUUAUUAGUGUGGGCUCAUAUGGCAAGGAAUGCGAUUCUACUAUAUUAAAGGAUAGUACAUUUUGGCAAAAGAUCAAUGAUGGUACUUUAAAUGUACCAAAGCCUAGACCGCUUCAUGAAAACUUGCACGAAGAAUUACCGUUUAUACUUAUUGGCGAUGAAGGCUUUGCUUUAACACCUAAUCUCCUACGUCCAUAUGGAGGUACACAUUUGAAUACUGAUAAAAGAUUUUUAACUAUAGACUAAGUCGAGCAAGAAGGUAUGUUGAGUGCGCUUUUGGUAUUCUGGCAAAUAAGUGGCGAAUAAUCCAUCGAGCUAUAGAUCUGAACGUAGACACAGCAAUUCAAGUAAUUAAAGCUUGUACAGUCUUACAUAAUUUUGUAAGAGAAAAAGAUGGUAUAAAUUUUGAAAGUUACCAAAAUAUAGAACAUAGACAAGAACAAGAAACGACACCCAUGAAUCGGAAUGUGUCAAGUCGAGGUGGCCCUAAUGCCAACGCUAUACGGACAUCAUUUACUAAUUAUUUUGUUUCGGAUAUUGGUUCCGUUCCGUGGCAGGCAGCAGCUAUAAAAUAAAAUUUAUCAAUGCAUUUACAUUUUAUCAAUAAAACAUUAAAAACUCA